UUGUCAGAACUCUCUGCUAUGACCUGUCCGUCUUGGGUGGCCCUGCACGGCAUAGCUUAUCGCUUCAUUGAGUUACACAAGCCCCUUCGCCACAACAAGGCAGUAAUCCAUAAAGGGGGAACACAACAAUACCCACCUUUAACAACAAAACCUCAAUAGAGAAAGAAGUAAAGUAAAAUGCAUGGCUUGCAUGAUGUAAUAUUUCUGCUGAUGUUGGUGCCAGGACCAAAGUCUCCCCUCACUGUCAUGCAUUCUUAUUCCCUGGAGAAACCACCAAUUUUUACUGUAUGAAGGGAAAGGUCAUGAUAGGCCAUUUGAAACCUCUACCUUAUGAACUUCUUCAUUGAUACAGCAAUGAUGUAUUGCAAACAAAUUCAGGAAGAACAUUAGACUAUACAACUGCCUCUUUUGGUGUCAAAGAAGUUCUUUCAAUGAAGAAUGGAUGGAAUCCUUCUGAGAUUACUCAAGGGCAAAUUCAUCAUUACAUUGGACAUUUAAUGCCAAGCUCCAACCAGCAAAACAGAUUUAUUUCAAUGUAUUCAAUGAUACUCAAAACAGAGUAAAUUGAAAAUUGGUAUAUUCCACAAUGAUGGAAUGAGAUUGUUGAAUUAUUGAAGAUGCUGUACAUUGUGUCCCUUCGACUUGCAAAAGAACAAAUUUGAGACAUGCCAGAGGCUUCCACUGUCAUUGAUCCUGACCAGAAAUCAGCAUUUGAACAUGAGAGAUUUAAUGCACAAAUUGGCAAUCAUCAUUAUACCAAACAACAUUGAAACUAAAUCAGAAUUGUUGCUAGACGAGGAGAUAGUUUGCGAAUAAUUUUAAAAUUCCAUUGCUGCUAUGACAGCUUUCAUCUUGGAGAUGAUGGCUAGUAUGACAACAAGAAAAUAAUGGCAAUGUGUUAUUAUGCAUAUUGAAUAAUGAACCAUGAGAAUGAGCUUAAUCUUCUAAGAGGAGAACAUCUAUUCCAACAAAAUAUGGUUAAUAUGGCUGCUAAGAUUAAAUAUGAAAAGCUGAGUUACAUCUAAAUGAAUCAAGUAACCUUGAGAUCAACAGCGGACAAAGCCUUUACUGAUACAUUGAAUAGUGUGACUGAUUUUAGGAUCCUUGGAAGGUGCAUCAUCCUCUUUUCAACAUUUCUUGGUGAAUCAAGAUAUAUAACAAGAUUUCAUUAUGUACUAUAUCUACGUAAUGCUUUAUUUUUCAUUAUGAUUCAAACUAGCCAGAAAUAUGACAGCAUCUUUUUUUAAUUAGCAGACAAAUGAUCAGCUAAAUUUAACCACAAUGAUAUUCAAAUUGAAGAAAAAAUUGUUCAUGAAAUGCCUCACUGGAACACAUCGCCUCUUUGCUUACAUGCUGAGUGCGGGAUACCAAAAGAGAGAUCUAUCUCAUUUGCACUGAUUGCUAUGUUUUGAUGAGGAUGAAAAUGAAGCUGAAGGAAAACAUCCCUCUCAAGAGAUAAACAUGGAACAGAAAAAUUCCAAAAAAUAGAAAUAUCAUUCCUCUUUGAAACAUGUUUUCAAAAAAUUAAAUGUCAUUCCUCUUUUAAAUGUGUUAAGUAGUAUCCAAGUGAUUAAUGUGUCUCAUUGUAAAAAUUAUAGAACAUUCCCAAUAAAAGACAUUGGAAAUUAAAAUGUAUCUUACUCUGAGGAAUUGUUUAAAUGACUCUUGAUAAUAUUUAUGAUUAAGAAAUCAUGAUUUUUUUUAUUUCUUUGUCAUACACACACACACACACAAUAUAAAAGCAUUAGAAUUAUGUGCAGUAUAAUCUUUGUCAUUUUUUUGAGAUACAAAUUUUUUGAAAUUCUUCAUUGUGUUAUUUAAGAUAAAUAGUGAAAGACUCAGUAGAAUUCAGAAUGUAUCCCAUAUCCCACAGCAUUUCUAUGUGGUUAGUGAUUAAUUUUGGUAGUUACAAAUUUUAAUAAUUAGGUAACUAUAUAUGACUUUUUUCUGAAUUGAAAUAAUUGUAGACAUCACAUUAUUUCAAUAAUAAAAUAUAAUUCUUUGUAAAGUUGCAUCCCAUCUAAGUAAUUCAUGUAUUUAGCAAACCAUGUUGGGUUAGCUCAAAAUAAAAAUUCAGCUGUUGUUUGUUAAAUGAUAGUUUAUAACUUUAUAUUUGCUUAAUAAAGCAUAACUAAAACUAACCAAAGGUAAA